rnacentral:rRNA from 1 species
AGAGUUUGAUCCUGGCUCAGGAUAAACGUUGGCGGUGUGCUUUAUGCAUGCAAGUCGUACGAGGCUAUAGUUUUCGGAUUAUAGUUUAGUGGCAAAUGGCUGAGUAAUACAUAGGUAACCUGCCUGUGAGUGGUGGAUAACUUGCUGAAAGGCAAGCUAAUACAGCAUGUGGUGAACAAGGAUUUCUUGUUUAUCAAAGCCUUCGGGCGCUCGCAGAGGGGCCUAUGCCUGAUUAGCUAGUUGGUGAGGUAACGGCUCACCAAGGCUUUGAUCAGUAGCUGGUCUGAGAGGAUGGUCAGCCAGAUGGGGACUGAGAUACGGCCCCAACUCCUACGGGAGGCAGCAGCAAGGAAUAUGGGGCAAUGGGCGAAAGCCUGACCCAGCGACACCGCGUGAGGGAUUAAGGCCUUCGGGUUGUAAACCUCUUUUCUCGAGGAAGAAGCUCUGACGGUACUCGAGGAAUAAGCCACGGCUAACUACGUGCCAGCAGCCGCGGUAAUACGUAGGUGGCAAACGUCCGGAUUUAUUGGGCGUAAAGAGAGUGUAGGCGGCUUAUUAAGUCAAGUGUUAAAUCUUCUGACUCAAUCAGGAGCUGCAUUUGAUACUGGUAGGCUUGAGUGCAGCAGAGGAAAACGGAAUUCCCAGUGUAGCGGUGAAAUGCGUUGAUAUUGGGAAGAACACCAGAGGCGAAGGCGGUUUUCCAGGCUGUGUCUGACGCUGAGACUCGAAAGCGUGGGGAGCGAAGCGGAUUAGAUACCCGCGUAGUCCACGCCUUAAACGGUGGACAUUAGGUAUGGGAAGUAUCGACCCUUUCUGUGCCGUAGCUAACGCUUUAAAUGUCCCGCCUGGGGAGUACGGUCGCAAGGCUAAAACUCAAAGGAAUUGACGGGGGUCCGCACAAGCAGCGGAGCGUGUGGUUUAAUUCGAUAUACACGAAGAACCUUACCAGGGUUUGACAUGUCAGAAGUAGGAAGCCGAAAGGUUUACGACCUGUAUCCAAUCAGGAACUGUCACAGGUGCUGCAUGGCUGUCGUCAGCUCGUGCCGUGAGGUGUUGGGUUAAGUCCCGCAACGAGCGCAACCCUUGUUCUAUGUUAAUUUCUCAUAGAAGACUGCCUUGUACAGCAAGGAGGAAGAGGAGGAUGACGUCAAGUCAGCAUGGCCUUUAUGCCCUGGGCUACACACACGCUACAAUGGGUAAUACAGAGGGUUGCCAAAGAGCGAUCUGGAGCUAAUCCCUUAAAAUUAUCCUCAGUUCAGAUUGUAGGCUGAAACCGCCUGCAUGAAGUCGGAGUUGCUAGUAAUCGCAGGUCAGCUAUACUGCGGUGAAUACGUUCUCGGACCUUGUACACACCGCCCGUCACGUCGUGGAAGUUGGAAACACCUGAAGUCAAUGUGUUAACUUGCUUAGGUAAGAAAUAGUUGUUGAAGGUGGAGCUGAUAACUGUGGCGAAGUCGUAACAAGGCA